rnacentral:rRNA from 1 species
UACGAAGGGAGCGAGCGUUGUUCGGAAUCACUGGGCUUAAAGCGUGCGUAGGCGGAUUGGUAAGUAAGAAGUGAAAGCCCAGGGCUUAACCCUGGAACUGCUUUUUAGAUCUGCCUGUCUGGAAUUCGGUAGAGGUUGGUGGAACUCCUAGUGUAGAGGUGAAAUUCGCAGAUAUUAGGAAGAACACCGGUGGCGAAGGCGACCAACUGGACCGAUAUUGACGCUGAGGCACGAAAGCGUGGGUAGCAAACAGGG